AUUGAACGCUGGCGGCAGGCCUAACACAUGCAAGUCGAGCGGAGCGGCGGACGGGUGAGUAAUGCCUAGGAAUCUGCCUGGUAGUGGGGGAUAGCGUCCGUAAACGGGCGCUAAUACCGCAUACUAUCAGAUGAGCCUAGGUCGGGUUAGCUAGUUGGUUGGGUAAAGGCCUACCAAGGGGACGAUCCGUAACUGGUCUGAGUGGUUGAUCAGUCAGACUGGAACUGAGACACGGUCCAGACGCCUACGGGAGGCAGCAGUGGGGAAUAUUGGACAAUGGGGGAAAGCCUAUUGCAGCCAUGCCGCGUGUGUGAAGAAGGUCUUCGGAUUGUAAAGCACUUGACGUCGGGAGGCGUUACCAACAGAAUAAGCACCGGCUAACUUCGUGCCAGCAGCCGCGGUAAUAC
rnacentral:rRNA from 1 species